AAUCAACGCUGGCGGCGUGCCUCAGACAUGCAAGUCGAACGCGAAAGGUUUCCUUCGGGAAGCGAGUAGAGUGGCGCACGGGUGAGUAACACGUAAGUAAUCCUACCCUUGGGUGGGAAUAACGAUCGGGAAACCGAGUGCUAAUACCGCAUAAUGCAGCGGCUUCAUAUGAAGACAGUUGUUAAAGCAUUUAUGUGCCUGAGGAGGAG
rnacentral:rRNA from 1 species